GGAGGGGCAAUGUUUUAGGUAACAGCGCCCUUGACCAUAGGAAUGAAAUGUUGCAACGAUAGGAGCGAUGUCUGAAGCAACAAAUGGAUCCCAGAUUCGGUCAUAUCAAAAGAUGCUUUGAAGAAAUUGCAGAUCUAUCUUAGACUACAUUUUCAAUAACUUCACUCUUGCACAUUUACAUGAUACAUAAUCCAUAUUUUAUAAUAGAAAGCACAUAAGACAUAUUUCAUAAAUUAAGAA
rnacentral:misc_RNA from 1 species